rnacentral:rRNA from 1 species
UAGGUGGCACUGUUUUCAUAGAGGCAGAGAGGAGCAAUAGGAGGAGGCGCUCGAGCGGCGCAGGAGAGGAGGCGAUUCCCUUGGGUUCAUGGCGUUUCCGAGCCGCCUCUCUGCUCGAGUUUGAUUUUCCCUUUGAUUCUUGUCUCCCCUGGUUGGUUCUUCUUGUCUCUCCCUCUUUCUUGCGCUCGAUUUGCCCCAUCCUUGUUCGUGUAGUAUCCAGAUCAUCUAGUGGUUGUGGUCGUUUCCCCCCUCUAAUUUGUUUCUUCUACUAUAGAUGUAGAGGUAGGCGAUUUUGUAGUUGUAGUGCUGGAUUCCCCUGUUUUCUGAUGGCCUGGGUUCCUAAUCCGCAUGCAUUUUUUGUCUGUAGUUUGUCUGCCCCGGGAUUCUGCUGGCUUAUGCAAUGUAGAUGCAGUUUGCGAUUUGUAGUUUGAUUUUGGCUGGCCCUUUUGUUGUGUAGAUAUAGGUGUUAUUUGUUUCAGUUUCCUGCUCUAUUAUGGUUUUUGAUGUGUUGGCUACUUAUGUGUUCAGUUUCCUACCCAUGUUACCUCUUGUAGUCCCUGAAUCCCUCUUGAUUUUUGUUGUUAGAUGUAGGUGUUUAGUUUCCCUGGUGCCAUGCUAAUAUACCCCAGAAUUUCUCUGAAUUAGUGUGCACUAGGCAUGUGGUGCUGAUGUAGGCCUGUAGUGUUGUUGCAGUGUUAGCCAAAUGGAUUUUUCUUGUUUUUGUCAUUGUAUAAUAUACCCCAGAAUCACAGUGUAAUUUUAUCUCAGAAUUUGAGUGUAAUGCCCAUGCUUCUUUAUUGUAACUACAGUGCUAUAUACCCUACAUAUAUAGUGUAAUUUAGCUCAGAUUUGCAUUGUAAUAUGCGUAAAAUUGCACUGUAAUUUUCCAACCCUAGAUUUACAGUGUAAUUUACCCUGGGUUUUCACUAUUUUUUAUGCUUCAGGACUGUAAUUGUUGCAUGGUUACACCGUAUUAUUUUGUAGUUUUACACUGUAAUUUUCAUGGUUCAGCGCUGUAAUUGUUGCAGGGCUUACGGUUUUUUGUUCGAUACAUUACUUUCAGUUGCUUCAUCACUGUAAUUUAUCACAGAUUUUCUCCGUAAGUUAUACGCUACAAGUCUUUAAUUGUUGUAUGCUUCAGAUAGAUUAUAGUGAUUUACUGCAGAUUCUUGGUGUUCUUCGGUUAGCUUCAGUAAUGAAUUGUUGUAUGGCUUACACUGUAUUUUACUGCAGAUUUACACUGUAAUUUGAAUGCUUCAGCAUUGUAAUUGUUGUAGGUUUAUGUCAGAUAGAUUACAUUGGAUUUUACUGCAGAUUUACACUGUAAUUUGAAUGCUUUGGCACUGUAAUUGCUGUAGGUUUAUGUCAGAUAGAUUACAGUGAAUUUUCCUGCAGAUUUACACUAUAAUUUGAAUACUUCGGCACUGUCAUUGCUGUAGGUUUAUGUCAGGUAGAUUACAGUGGAUUUCCCUGCAGAUUUACAUUGUAAUUUUAAUGCUUCGGCACUGUAAUUGCUGUAGGUUUAUGUCAGAUAGAUUAAAGUGGAUUUUACUACAGACUUAUUCCCUCCGUUCGGAAUUACUUGUCGCAGAAAUGGAUGUAUCUAGAUUUAUUUUUUGUUCUAGAUACAUUCAUUUUCGAGACAAGUAAUUUCGAACGGAGGGAGUACACUGUAGUAUGAGUUCUUCCUAUGACAUUCUCAGUAGAUCUUCAGUUACUGUCCUUAUCAUGCUCCUCAUGCUCUUCAGUUACAUUCCUGUAUUUACGUUGUAAAUUGUAGUACACUAUCUCUGAAGUUUCACUGUAAUUUUGUUGUGUUUUUAUAGCAUAUGCUCGCAUACUUUCAACUUAAACUCCUGUGUAUGUAGUAUGUAUUUUUUGGACUCCAGUAACUGUAUUUCUUUGCUAUUUUACUCUGUACUUCUUGGUGAUUUACACUGUACUUGUUGGGUAUUUACAGUGUAAGUUCAUCAGUCUUUACAGUGUAAUUCCCUGGGUUAAUGUAUAAUGUAUUUUUUCAGAGGAUUUACACUGAAAUUGUUGGGUACUUACAGUGCAAGUUCAUUAGUUUUCGCAAGUGUAAAUACCUGAUAAUAACAAUGCAAUUCUAGGGGAUUUACAUUGUAAUUUGUGGGUGUUUACAGUGUAACUUCAUGAGC